rnacentral:rRNA from 1 species
UUGUAUGUUUAAAAUCCCGCAAAUGAUAAGUUGUAAUGAAAUAAGGAAGAGGGUUUUAUCAGUCUUCAAGCUUUUCACCUACAAACUUAUAACCAAUUCCCCAUAUAGUCUGAAUGAAUUUUGGAUUGGAAGGGUCAAUUUCUAUUUUCUUUCUAAGUUUUCGAAUAUGUACCAUAACGGUAUUGUCAUCUUCUAUAUAAUUAUCGUCCCACACAUUUCGGAAGAGCUGUGUUUUUGUAAAUACUUGCCCUGGGUUUGAAGUAAAGAAUUUUAACAGUUCCAAUUCUUUUCCGGUUAAGCUAAUUUCUUCUUUGUUUGUAUGAACUGUGUAUGUAUUUAAAUUGAUAGUUAGUCCUUUAAAAGAUAAAGUGGUUUUUUCUUGAGCAGUAUUGUUACUUCCGAGAACUAAAAAACGCCGCAUAAGAGCUUUUACUCGUGCAAUUACUUCGUGAAUGCUGAAAGGUUUCGUAAUAUAAUCAUCAGCACCAAUGCUUAAGCCUAAAAUUUUAUCAACUUCGUGAUCUUUAGCUGUGAGCAUUAAUAUAGGUACGUUAGUUUUAUCUCUAAGUUUUUUACAUACCUCGAUUCCAUCUAUUUUGGGCAUCAUAAGAUCUAAUAUAACGAGGUUAUAUUUAUUUUGAUUAAAUAAAUGCAAGGCUUCUUCGCCGUUGAUUGCAGUGUCUACCAUGUAUAAUUCUCGUUCUAAAUAUAUUUUUAAUAAAUUUCGGAUUUCUUUAUCGUCGUCUGCUAUAAGGAUACGUAUAUCUUUCAUAUCUUCACCUGUUUCUAAUAGAGUUUUAUUGAUAGUACAACAACUCUCUAAUUAUAUACUAGUAUUUGUUAAAAUAAGGUUGCUAGUUUUGUUGGAGGAAAACGUCCACACAAGUUAAGUCUAGAGUUCAAAUUAACUUGAAUAUAUUUGGAAAAAUAAAUCAAAGAGAAGCAGAAGCCGUGCUCCGAUAAUGAAAUCCUAUAGAGACGUAUCUAGCUAAAAGAGCAUAAAAAUAUUAAAUUGAAGUUCUUUAUAAAAAGGUGUUGACGAUUAUACUUUAGAGGUGUAAUAUAGAACAAGUCGCCGAUGACAAUAACGUCGCAAGCGACAAACGAAAUAAAAAACUUAGUUGACAUUGAAAGAUGAAAAUGUUAACAUAAGGAAGUCGCAAAUGAGCGACCAAGUAGUUCUUUGAAAACUGAACGAAACAAACAACGUGAAACGUCAAUUUUUAUUUUAGAUG